UGGUUCCUGUGUGUGUGACAGGUUUGGGGCAGGAAACACUUUGGCUCUGUGGUAAAGAAAGGCCUUGAACUCUCAUUGAGAAGCAUGGAGCCGAUAUGAUUGGUGAACAACAAUUGUGUGCUGGCCCCAGGAUACUAAUCAGAACUUCUGCCUGACUCUCAAAGCACAAGGCUCAGUACCUGCAGAAGCCUUUUACCCAUCUAAUCCGGGCGUGGGGACAACAUGUCUGCACCUAGGAAGGCCACAGCAGAGUCUGGAAAAGAUAUGGAGGGAGAGGACUCUAAUUUGAAAGACGUGAUUUCCUGGGAGAGUUUGCCUUCAUCAAGUCAGACACCUAGAUCAGUGACUCGUGAGGUUUUGGCAAAGGAAGAUAGCUCAGAGGAGGUAAAAUUCUCUCCUCAGAGUUCCCAAAAUGAUUAUGAGGAUAUUUUAAAAGAUGCUACAGAAAGUGACAGUGACCCAGGCGUAUGGGCCACCAGUGGCUUCCUAAGAGACAAGUGGAGCAGUGAGGAUGAAGAACUUGCAGGGCCAUCCCAGACUGUCCCUCCUCAGCUCCACGGUAUACAAAUUGUUUCUGAAAGGGAGCUAGCUCAGCUGGCUCAUGUUCGACCAUUAAUAUUCAGUUUUCAUGAGCAAUUAACCAUCAAGGAUUGUGUUAACGUGCUUGAGAAAAAAGUAGCAGAAUUUGAAAUCCUCCAGGAAUUUAUGACUUUAGAUUUUCAGAACCUACCUGGUGAGUUCAACUCUGGGAAUGACCUACGCAACAGAGACAAAAACAGAUAUCGAGAUGUUCUUCCAUAUGAUUCAACACGUGUUCCUCUUGGAGAAAACAAAGACUACAUCAAUGCUAGUUAUAUUAGAAUAAUGAAUUCUGGAGAAGAGUAUUUUUAUAUUGCUGCUCAAGGACCACUGCCAAGUACCACAGAUGACUUCUGGCAAAUGGUUUUAGAAAAUAACUCUAAUGUUAUUGUCAUGAUAACCAAAGAGAUAGAAGGUGGCGUUGUCAAAUGCCACCAUUACUGGCCCAUUUCUAUGAAGAAGCCUUUGGAAUUGAAAAACUGUCGUAUCUUCAUGGAGAACUACCAGAUACUUCAAUGUUUCAUCAUCCGAAUAUUUCAAGUUGUGAGGAAGUCUACAGGAACUAGUCACUUUAUAAAACACUUGCAGUUCACCAACUGGCCAGACCAUGGCACUCCUGCCCCAGUAGAUGGCUUCAUAAAGUAUGUACGUUAUGUGAGGAAGAGCCACCUUACAGGACCUGUCCUUGUUCACUGCAGUGCUGGCGUGGGCCGGACGGGGGUGUUCCUCUGUGUGGAUGUUGUGUUCUGUGCCAUCGAAAAGAACUUUCCAUUCAACAUCAAGAAUAUAGUGGCCCAAAUGAGAGAACAGCGUUAUGGCAUGAUUCAAACAAAGGAGCAGUAUUGCUUUUGUUAUAAAGUUGUGCUUGAAGUUCUUCAGAAGAUUCUGACUUUCGAUUAAGAAAGACUUCUGUUGCCUCACACUUGAAAUUACCAAUGGCCUGGAGUCUCCUCGUAAAGAACAUGUUCCAGCUGUCCUGAAGGGCUUUGCUUAGGCGUACAAUGUACUUUCUUGGUGUAUCAUUUGACUGUCUUUCUGACAACUCCCGGAAGGCAGCAUCAUUUGGUUUGCGGUGAACAGUGUUUACCCGUUAAUCUUACUUAGAUAUGACGUACAGCAGUAUUCCUGAGAAGGAUUCUAUGCUGUUACUUAAAUGAAAAGACUUACUAUGAAUUGCCUGACGUAUUUUUAUUAUCUAGGCCUUGAAAUGUUCUUGUAAAGAAAAAUGCCACAAUUCUUGAUGGUAAGCAUAUUUCUUCUUUAAUGUGUGCCUCAUAUUUUUAUAGCUGGACUAAUUUUUAGUUUUUCAGGGAAAUUAAAUAAGUAAACAUGGAAAUACUGAUUACAUUUGUUUUAUUUCAUUUUUGGAAAAUGAAUUCCAAAUUGAAAAUGUUUGACUAAUUGAAAUACUAAGUUUCAUACCAACAGUAAAUCAGUCUUUGCCUAGACUAUGAAUACGAAACUCCCAUUGACACCUUUGUGAGUGUAUGAACGCUUAUGGAGAGGAACUUUUAAAACAUUUAAAUAAAAGCAUAUAUGCAUUUAUUAACUUUCAACUUUAAAUACAUAUUUUUAAAGAUGCUUGUCCUCGAUGGACUGACAUGUUGGACCAAAUCUUUUCAGAAAUAAACACUGUAGGUUUUAUUCUCCUAUAAGUCUUGGUAAUUUAUUUUUCCUUGGGCUUUUUGCCCCUAAGCUAUCUAGAACAUUAUUGAAUUUUCAAUUAACUUUGCAUUUACUACUCAGAGGUCAUUUCAGUGAUUUAUUCUUACUGAAAAAUCUUAAAUGAAAACACCUUAACUCUAAAACAAAAAAGUUUCCUUUCCUACUUAUUUUUUCUUAAUACCUGGGAAGAAUUAAUUUUCUUUAUAUGUUGUCUUGAGAUUUAAGUAAUUGAACUCGAAGAUUUGGAAAGUAUCCAUUAAGUAAAAACAGGUUAGUGGUAUUCAGUGGGGAUGAUGAAUUGCUCAAUGGAGUGCUCAAUUUGUCUACAGCUAUAAUCAAAAGGAAGUAAGUAAUGACCUCAUCAUGUAACAAUUUGAAUUAGAAGGGAUCUUAAAACAUGCCUAAUGUAACUAUCAUAUCUGAAACUUGAAUGUGAUAAAGAACAUUUUUUAGAAACUAAUAGCAACAUCAUAUUGGGAGGUGAAAAAAUAGAGCCUUCCCAUUAGGAAAACAGUAACUCCUGUUAGCACUAUAGUAUUUGUCAAGAGUUAUCUAGCCAAUACAGAAAGACUACAAAAAAGAAUAAAUGGUAUAUAAAUACUGGAAAGUUAGAACAAAGCGAUCUUUUGUUUGUAUAUUUGCUCACAUAGAAAUAAUAGACUGAACUAAAAUACAGUAUUAGAAAAAUCAUUAUGAAGUCUGGAUACAAGAUAACUGUGUAAAAAUUUCUUUUUCUACAUCAGGGGUCAUCGGAUGAUGGCUUGCAGGCCAAAUCUGACAUGUUGCCUGUUUUUGUAAAUAAAGUUUUAUGCCCAUUUGUUUA